rnacentral:misc_RNA from 1 species
GGGCGUCGCCUCAGCCCGGUGUCCAGGGUCUAGUAGCGCCCCACUCACUGUGGGAGAAAGCCAAGCAGCCGCUAUCCUUGCCAUAUGCCGGACCAGUUCUGGUGGUCACAGGGCCGAGUGCCCACGACGUGGGGAAGUCAGAUGCACCGCUGCUGAUGUCGGCGGCCAUGCCCUGGAUGGCGCUGCGUCGGUGCGCCCCGCGACAGGGAACACAGGCUCACGCCAUCCACACGAUAGGCGAGGUGUCGACGUGACUGGAACGUAUAUGGCGGCCGGCCCCUCGCACUGCGUGCUGGUGUGUGACGCCUGAGUGCCACCGUGAGGGAGAUGCACCAGGUGGCGACCGGCAUAGUGGGGGUGGGUAGAGUUUAUCUUUAUGGAGCAGGGGCCGUGCUCUCCGAUGACCAGGUCGGCGCAUCGCUGUGGGGCGUGUGCACGGCUGCUUUGCAGCCGCGCGAUGGGCCCUGUGACAGGCCGAUGGGUCGCGCGGCGUUUGGCCUGAUGCUCUGUGGCAGUGUACGGACACGUUGGCAAAAAAAAAAAUACAUUUUCUCUCUGUUGGGCGACAGAGGCUACUUAGCUGCCUUCAACCUUCACCUCUCCUUCUCGGUCACGGAUACCGUGUGCGGUGCAUGCUCUCAAGCUGUUCUGCAGGUACGUGUGAGGCUUGGUGCGCCUAACAGGCUUUCGGUAUGGUGCACUUCUUCAGGGCACCAUCAUGCGCAUUGUCGUCUUCAUGACAUCUUUUUCGUCUCGCUCCUCCACGCAUUCAUGUAUGCAUCCCACUCUCUGUCCUGAGGGGGCUGUUCUGUCCAUCACAG